UAGGUGGCAAGCGUUAUCCGGAAUUAUUGGGCGUAAAGCGCGCGCAGGCGGUUCCUCAAAUCUGAUGUGAAAGCCCACGGCUCAACCGUGGAGGGUCAUUGGAAACUGGGGAACUUGAGUGCAGAAGAGAAAAGCGGAAUUCCACGUGUAGCGGUGAAAUGCGUAGAGAUGUGGAGGAACACCAGUGGCGAAGGCGGCUUUUUGGUCUGUAACUGACGCUGAGGCGCGAAAGCGUGGGGAGCAAACAGGAUUAGAACCCGUGUAGUCCACAAC
rnacentral:rRNA from 1 species